rnacentral:rRNA from 1 species
AGCAUAUCAAUAAGCGGAGGAAAAGAAACCAACAGGGAUGCCCUAGUAACGGCGAGUGAAGAGGCAAAAGCUCAAAUUUGAAAUCUGGCUCCUUUUUGGGGUCCGAGUUGUAAUUUGCAGAGGAUGCUUUUGGCGAGAUACCUUCCGAGUUCUUCCUGAAAACGGGACGCCACAGAGGGUGAGAGCCCCGUGCGGUCUGGUGUCGAGCCUUUGUAAAGCUCCCUCGAAGAGUCGAGUAGUUUGGGAAUGCUGCUCUAAACGGGAGGUAAACUCCUUCUAAAGCUAAAUACCAGCCGGAGACCGAUAGCGCACAAGUAGAGUGAUCGAAAGAUGAAAAGCACUUUGAAAAGAGAGUUAAAUAGUACGUGAAAUUGUUGAAAGGGAAGCGCUCGUGGCCAGACUUGCGCCCGCUAGUUUAUGUGUCUUUCUAGGCAUUGCACUCUGGCGGGCUCAGGCCAGCAUCGGUUCCGGGCGGGGGAAAAUUGCGGCGGGAAAGUGGCUCCUCGGAGUGUUAUAGCCUGCCGUAGCAUGCCCCGCCGUUGGGACCGAGGUUCUCGCCUUCGGGCAAGGAUGCUGGCGUAAUGGCCACCAGCGACCCGUCUUGAAACACGGAC